rnacentral:rRNA from 1 species
CCUACGGGAGGCAGCAGUGAGGAAUAUUGGUCAAUGGACGAGAGUCUGAACCAGCCAAGUAGCGUGAAGGAUGACUGCCCUAUGGGUUGUAAACUUCUUUUAUAUGGGAAUAAACUGUUCCACGUGUGGGCUUUUGUAUGUACCCUAUGAAUAAGGAUCGGCUAACUCCGUGCCAGCAGCCGCGGUAAUACGGAGGAUCCGAGCGUUAUCCGGAUUUAUUGGGUUUAAAGGGAGCGUAGGUGGAUUGUUAAGUCAGUUGUGAAAGUUUGUGGCUCAACCGUAAAAUUGCAGUUGAAACUGGCAGUCUUGAGUACAGUAGAGGUGGGCGGAAUUCGUGGUGUAGCGGUGAAAUGCUUAGAUAUCACGAAGAACUCCGAUUGCGAAGGCAGCUCACUGGACUGCAACUGACACUGAGGCUCGAAAGUGUGGGUAUCAAACAGGAUUAGAUACCCGUGUAGUC